UUCGAAGAACGGAGCAAGAGAGAGAGAGAGAGAGAGGAGAGAGUGAGUAGAACGACCGAGAGCUCGAGAAGGAGCCGGUGGAAGAAGAAGGGAAGAAGAGAGACAGUCCGAGAGAAGAGAGGGACAGAGUAAGCUGAGGGGGAUUGAGGACAGUAAAUCGGGGAUUAUGGAGACUGAGCUUUGCAUCUCGAAGAAUCGACCCAAUGAAAUAUUUUUGGGUAUUCGCCAUGGGACUGCUGAUCCGACAGUAUACAAAAAGGGACGUCUAGUCCGCUGAUCCGGCGGGAUACAAAAAGGGAAGUCUAAAUCUUUGAUCCGACGGGAUACAAAAAGAGACGCCUAGACCGCUGAUCCGGCAGGAUACAAAAAGGGACGUCUAGACCGCUGAUUCGGCGGUAUAUAAAUAGGACAUCUAGACCGCUGAUCCGACAGAAUAUAAAAUGGACGUCUAGACCGCUGAUCCGGCGGGAUACAAAAGGGACGUCUAGACUGCUGAUCCAGCGGUAUAUAAAUAGGACGCUUAGACCGUUGAUCCGGCGGGAUACAAAAAGGAACGUCUAGAUCGCUGAUCCGGCGAGAUACUAAAUGGAUGCCUAGAUCGCUGAUCCGGCGGGAUACAAAAUGGAUGCCUAGACUCCUAUUGCCCGAGGAUAAUGGGCAGUCCCCGCUUAUGAGAAAUGAAAUGAGGAAUUUGUGGAUAUGAGUGCGGGAUCACAGUAUUGUCAGUACUUUGUUGUGAUGAAAUGCAACCCUAUGGCUGUAUUGAUUGGUUCGUAUUGUAUAUUGUUUGGCUAGUAUGAUUGUUGGAGAUGUGUUGAUUGUUGAGAUUGUUGGAGGUGUGAUGAUUGUUGAGAUUGUCUAAAGUUGUUCUAUGAAAAUCGUGUUGUUGCUAGAGUUCGAUCUGUCAAUUGAUUGUGUUGUAAGUUACUAUGGAAUGCUAAUGAAUGAAUGUUUAAAGUUUAUGUGAUAUUGGGUAUUAGAGAAACGGUUGGAAGGGUUGUGUGAAUUGGUUAGUAGAACUUAAAUUUAGUUAUUAUAUUGGUUAUAUUUUGGUAUCAGAGCCUAGGUUAAGAGAUCCUAUAGACUUAAGUUGAGGCUUGAUCCCCGAGCAAUUUUUGAUAAUUGUGGAGAUAGGUUAUGUGUUCUAAUCUUGGUUGUUCACUCUGAUCAAUUCUCAUUCUUCGUUUUUAUAAAUUUUCUUCACCUCAGAUUGAUCGUUACAUGAUUAUUCUAGUUUUGCUCUUAUGUGUUCUUUUUCCAUCAGAUUUAAAUCGGUUAAUAGUGGCUGAUAGUCAUACUAUCCAGGCAAUGGCUUUCGAUCAUCAUGGGGGCACUCUGAUCUUAUUCCUUAUUAUACUUCUACGAUUUACAUUUUCCUUCUAAUGGAUUUGGAGUUCUUGUGUUUGACUGAGAUUUAUGGGUAAAUUAUGCGUUCUAUGCAGAUUAUGUAAUCAAAGACUUGGACAGAUCAGUGGAGUCUUGCAUUUCUGAGUUUGGAUAACACUUUUCUUUUGAUAACUUAGACACUUCGAUUUGUCCGAUUUUUACCUUGUUGUCCUCAAAGCUGUAAUUAGUGGAUCACCUAUGUGCAUAUUCCUUUUUCAUAAUUUAUGCUUGAGAUUGGAGCUACAUGAGGCUGGAGAUGUGAUAGGUUUUAUUCUUCUAGGUUUUGUUGUCCAUCGUUCUUUGAUGUUGUAGCUUCUCCAAUCUCACAUUGAUCAUCCUUGUUACGUUCCAAUUUCUUUGAUACUUUUGUGUGAGAUCCAGAUCGAUGAUAGUGGUAGGAAGUCAUGCUUGUGCUUUUGGGCGAGAGCUGGUGAUUAUCUUGAGGUUAUGAUUGAUAGUUCCUUCACAGCUCUUAGGCUUCAAUUUCCCUUUUGAGCAGUUGUGAAUUCUUGUGUUCGAUUGGGAUUUAGUGGUAGAUUUGGUACACAAUGCAGGUUCUAUAGUCAAGGCUUAUGGCGAAAGUUAGUUCAGCUUUAGAGCUUCAUUUCUUCGAACGAUUGGAUUUGACUCUCUAAUCCCUUUGAAUUAUUGUGAUUUGUCGUAGCUUUAUUCUAGGAUC